CUGCAGGACUCUCACUCAACUCGUUGGGAUCCUUGCUCAUUCCAGAACCUGUUGGGGUGAUCAGGCUUGUUUAGUCUUAAUGGACACCCUGUGUGAGCCUGCCUUUCUCUGUGGGGGAUGGAGGUCGACUCCACCUGUGGACGACACAGCGACGGUGGCUGCACUUCCUUUUCGUCCUUGCCUGUGUUGUGACAUCGUCACACCUUUCUUAUCCAAGAACAAAGGGACUGUUCAUAUAAAAAAUCAUGGGGGUUGGUUUAUCAGCUCCAUUUUGGAAACGUGAGAGAGGAAGGCCAUCAGCUCGAGGAAGGGUGGGGAGACGGACCGAGAAGAAGGCAUGAAAUUGUUUCCGAGUGUGAGCCGGUGAACGGACUAGAGAGUUUCAUUGCCAAGCAGCAUCAGGGGUCCGAAUGAGGUUGACAGCCUUCUCUAAAGUAGCUCAGCAUUACUUCCACGCUAAAAUCAAGAGGUGGCUGGUCUUCAAGGCGUCUCCUACUCCUGUUGUUCUGAUGACAUUGUGAAGAAUGAAGCUGAACCUCAGUGAUCUGAUGCAGCCAUCAAAUUAGCAACAUGAAACCACUGUGGCCCGAACAUUCUUGUUUAAAUGGUUGCAUCUCUUUGCUUGCAUGCCCGAUCCCCUUUCUGUUAAAACUCAUGCAUGUAUGAGUUUUUCAGCUUUUGGGUAGUAAUGGUCACUUUGUCUUCCUAGCACUUUCAAUUUAACAAUAAAGAUGAUUUAAUUUUGCAUUUGGC